CAGACGAACGCUGGCGGCGUGCCUAAUACAUGCAAGUCGAACGCUUCUUUCCUCCCGAGUGCUUGCACUCAAUCGGAAAGAGGAGUGGCGGACGGGUGAGUAACGCGUGGGUAACCUACCCAUCAGAGGGGGAUAACACUUGGAAACAGGUGCUAAUACCGCAUAACAGUUUAUGCCGCAUGGCAUAAGAGUGAAAGGCGCUUUCGGGUGUCGCUGAUGGAUGGACCCGCGGUGCAUUAGCUAGUUGGUGAGGUAACGGCUCACCAAGGCCACGAUGCAUAGCCGACCUGAGAGGGUGAUCGGCCACACUGGGACUGAGACACGGCCCAGACUCCUACGGGAGGCAGCAGUAGGGAAUCUUCGGCAAUGGACGAAAGUCUGACCGAGCAACGCCGCGUGAGUGAACGAAGGUUUUCGGAUCGUAAAACUCUGUCGUUCAGAGAAGAACAAGGACGUUAGUAACUGAACGUCCCCUGACGGUCAUCUAACCAGAAAGCCACGGCUAACUACGUGCCAGCAGCCGCGGUAAUACGUAGGUGGCAAGCGUUGUCCGGAUUUAUCGGGCGUAAAGCGAGCGCAGGCGGCUUUCUUAAGUCUGAUGUGGCAAGCCCCCGGCUCAACCGGGGAGGGUCAUCGGGAACGCUGGGGACACU
rnacentral:rRNA from 1 species